AUCAGCACACACUACUUUGAUUGACAGUUUGACAGAAAGUGUGUGUUACUCUUGUUGGAACAAAGUUCUAAUUCUCUUUAUUUUUAAUGGUCUAGUAAAAGGGCAGUCUGUGCUCCGGCUCCCUAUAGUGGCCUGUGUGAAUCACUGCCUCUUGUCACAUUUUUAUAAAAUAUUAUUAUCUAUUAAUUUAUUAAUAUCUGUGUGUGUGUGUGUGUGUGUGUGUGUGUGUGUGUGUGUGUGUAGGACUACACAGUGUCUUUGUGUGUUAACAGGAGCUCAGCUAUUCUCUCUGAAUAAAGAGGAACUUCGUGCUGUCAUUCCUGAAGAAGGAGCGAGGGUGUACAGACAAGUUGCCGUACAGAAGGCACGGCUGGAGGAUGUCAGAAAGGCAACAGAGCUGGAGGCAGUGAUGGAGAAACAGAAGAUGAAGGUGGAUUUCACAGAGGAGAGUGGAACUCAUACGCCUCGUACUCUAGCAUACUACAUCUAGCAUACUAAUAAAAAAAAUAAAAA